UCAUUGUCGUACCAGUCGUCGACAUCCAAACCAUUAAUAGCAUAAUUAACAGGAAGAAGAUCGUACUCGGGGUAACAUGCAAGGUGAGGCUUAUUGCGCAUCACAAUUAUCUGUCGACGACGGCGCCCAAUCACAUGGUCAUCGUCGUGGUGGUUAAAAAGUAGGAAGCUGUGGAGGAACUUGCGACUGGAGAGAAGACGAAACCAUGAUUUGUUGAGGGUGCGGAGUCUGAAGAGACAACUGGGAUCAUCUAGCCUCUUUAUAAUAUCCAUCACUAACUCUUCCGGCAUAAACCUAGGACCAACAACACCACUUGCUGCUUCCACCUCAUCAUCGAUAUCCCUCUUAAUUUUCCACUUGUUCUUCUUCUUCU
rnacentral:lncRNA from 1 species